rnacentral:rRNA from 1 species
ACGCUCGACACCUACGGGAGGAGCAGUGAGGAAUAUUGGUCAAUGGGCGCUAGCCUGAACCAGCCAAGUAGCGUGAAGGAUGAAGGCUCUAUGGGUCGUAAACUUCUUUUAUAUAAGAAUAAAGUGCAGUAUGUAUACUGUUUUGUAUGUAUUAUAUGAAUAAGGAUCGGCUAACUCCGUACCAGCAGCCGCGGUAAUCUGAGCGGGCUGGCAAGGC